GUUGAGGGGAGUGUUGCCUGGUUCGCAAUCUUUCACGACAACUAAUUAACCUUAAUUGCCUCGUUCGUACGUUGGUUGGUGUGAAUGAUUUCGGACCAGGCUUCAUUCCCCUCAAC
rnacentral:pre_miRNA from 1 species